GACGAACGCUGGCGGCGCGCCUAACACAUGCAAGUCGAGCGAGAACCAGGGCUUCGGCCCUGGGGAAAGCGGCGAACGGGUGAGUAACACGUGGGUAACCUGCCCUCGGCACCGGGAUAGCCCGAGGAAACUCGGAUUAAUACCGGACAGCCUCAUGAGCCCUCGGGCGAAUGAGAAAAGGUGGCUUCGGCUUCCGGCUGAGGAUGGGCCCGCGUCCGAUUAGCUUGUUGGUGGGGUAAUGGCUCACCAAGGCUCCGAUCGGUAGCUGGUCUGAGAGGACGAUCAGCCACACUGGGACUGAGACACGGCCCAGACUCCUACGGGAGGCAGCAGUGGGGAAUAUUGGACAAUGGGCGAAAGCCUGAUCCAGCAAUGCCGCGUGUGUGAAGAAGGCCUGCGGGUUGUAAAGCACUUUCAGUAGGGAAGAAAAGCUUGGUGUGAAUAGCGCCGAGUCUUGACGUUAA
rnacentral:rRNA from 1 species